UACGUAGGGUGCGAGCGUUGCCCGGAUUUAUUGGGCGUAAAGGGCGCGUAGGCGGCUCGGCACGUCCGUUGUGAAAUCGCCCGGCUCAACUGGGCGGGGUCAGCGGAUACGGUCGAGCUUGAGCAAGCUAGGGGGCAAUGGAAUUCCCGGUGUAGUGGUGGAAUGCGUAGAUAUCGGGAGGAACACCAGUGGCGAAGGCGGUUGCCUGGAGCUUUGCUGACGCUGAGGCGCGAAAGCCAGGGGAGCGAACGGG
rnacentral:rRNA from 1 species